AUAUGUAAAUAAUAUUACACAGUUUUUGUUGGAGAAAUAAGUAAAGAGUAUAGAUGUUGAGUACUUGUGGCAAUCGUUUUUCAAAUGUUUCCAACCCAUGAUUAAUUAAACCCAUGAAUACUGUGACCCCACACAGGCCCAGUGAGCUGGUUGUAAUUGCUGCAAUUGCAAUAACAGUGUGCAUUUAAGGUUCUUCUGUGUUUUAUGACUUCAUUUCGUUUUUUAGAUUAUAAAUGUAGUUUAUGAACUUGGAUUGUAGCUCAUUUUAUAGAGUACUUGCCUAGUACUUGUACAAAGCCUGAAUUUGUUCCUUGGCACCACAUAAACAGGCAUAGUCCGAACCUGUAAUUCCUGCACUUGGGAAGUGGAGGCAAGAAGAUCAGAAGUUCAAGUUUAUCCUGUUGUAGUGAUUUCAAGGCUAGCCUGGGCUACAUCCUAUUGAAAAGGAAAAAAUGGUGUUUGUAAAAUGUAUGAAGAACAUCUGAAGAGAAUGAAUCCCAACAGCCCUUCCAUCACAUAUGAUAUCAGUCAGUUGUUUGAUUUUAUUGACGAUCUGGCAGAUCUCAGCUGUCUUGUUUACCGAGCUGAUACACAGACAUACCAGCCGUAUAACAAAGACUGGAUCAAAGAGAAGAUCUACGUGCUCCUCCGUCGACAGGCCCAACAGGCUGGGAAGUAAUUGAGUUGGAAGCGUUAGGGGCUGGGGGUGGACUUGGAACAGGUGCCCACAGCGCGCUGUAGUGAACCUUUUGUAUGAUAGUGAGCCUGUUUCCGCUGUGUUACAC
rnacentral:lncRNA from 1 species